GUCAGGAUGGCCGAGUUGUCUAAGGCGCCAGACUCAAGAGUAAAUUUUAUCCAGUAACGGGAGUUCUGGUCCACUGAUGUGGGUUCGAAUCCCACUUCUGAUA